rnacentral:rRNA from 1 species
AUUGAACGCUGGCGGCAGGCUUAACACAUGCAAGUCGAGCGGAGAGAGGUAGCUUGCUACUGAUCUUAGCGGCGGACGGGUGAGUAAUGCUUAGGAAUCUGCCUAUUAGUGGGGGACAACAUUUCGAAAGGAAUGCUAAUACCGCAUACGUCCUACGGGAGAAAGCAGGGGAUCUUCGGACCUUGCGCUAAUAGAUGAGCCUAAGUCGGAUUAGCUAGUUGGUGGGGUAAAGGCCUACCAAGGCGACGAUCUGUAGCGGGUCUGAGAGGAUGAGCCGCCACAAUGGGACUGAGACACGGCCCAGACUCCUACGGGAGGCAGCAGUGGGGAAUAUUGGAAAAUGGGCGGAAGCCUGAUCCAGCCAUGCCGCGUGUGUGAAGAAGGCCUUAUGGUUGUAAAGCACUUUAUGCGAGGAGGAGGCUACUUUAGUUAAUACCUAGAGAUAGUGGACGUUACUCGCAGAAUAAGCACCGGCUAACUCUGUGCCAGCCGCCGCCGUAACAC